UUCUCUGAGUGACUUUCGCUAAGAAAGUCUUUUGACACCUCUAAAAAUGGUGUAGAAUAAGGGGUGGGCAAGUCUGGUGUCAGCCGCCGCGGUAAUACCAGCACCCCGAGUGGUCGGGACGAUUAUUGGGCCUAAAGCAUCCGUAGCCGGUUUUACAAGUCCUCCGUUAAAUCCAGCUGCUUAACAGAUGGGCUGCGGAGGAUACUAUAAGACUAGGAGGCAGGAGAGGCAAGCGGUACUCAGUGGGUAGGGGUAAAAUCCGUUGACCCAUUGAAGACCACCAGUGGCGAAGGCGGCUUGCCAGAAUGCGCUCGACGGUGAGGGAUGAAAGCUGGGGGAGCAAACCGGAUUAGAUACCCGGGUAGUCCCAGCUGUAAACGAUGCAGACUCGGUGAUGGACUAGCUUUAUGCUAGUCCAGUGCCGCAGGGAAGCCGUUAAGUCUGCCGCCUGGGUAGUACGGUCGCAAGACUGAAACUUAAAGGAAUUGGCGGGGGAGCACCACAAGGGGUGAAGCCUGCGGUUCAAUUGGAGUCAACGCCGGGAAUCUUACCGGGGGCGACAGCAGGAUGAAGGUCAAGCUGAAGACUUUACUAGACAAGCUGAGAGGAGGUGCAUGGCCGUCGCCAGCUCGUGCCGUGAGGUGUCCUGUUAAGUCAGGUAACGAGCGAGACCCCUGCUUCUAGUUGCUACUUUUAUUCCUCGGAGUAGAAGGGCUAAUUAGAAGGACUGCCGCCGCUAAGGCGGAGGAAGGAGGGGGCUACGGCAGGUCAGUAUGCCCCGAAACCCUCGGGCCACACGCGGGCUGCAAUGGUAAGUACAAUAGGUUCCGAUUCCGAAAGGAGGAGGCAAUCCCGUAAAACUUACCACAGUUAUGAUUGAGGGCUGAAACUCGUCCUCAUGAAUAUGGAAUCCCUAGUAU
rnacentral:rRNA from 1 species